CAAACUCAAAAGACCAAUUGAAAAAACAAGGGGAAGAAAGUCUAAACUUUAAAGUAUAUUUAGAGAGAGACAGACCCAAGAACAGACUGUCAAAUCUACAUAUUCUCCCUCCCCGUUAUCUCUCUCUGCAGAUUCCAUUCAAUCCCAGAUCAGUUUUGCCCUUUCAAUCUCUGUCUCCCUCACCCUCAACUCUCAAUCAUGCCCCAAGAUUUUCAAGGAGAGGAUUUGAAGUGAAAAGUGAAGAUAUAUGGAGGGGGAUACACAGAGAGGGGUAGAUGGGAGAGUUAUGCAGACAUUUCAGAAGAGUUUUGUGCAGGUGCAGGACAUAUUGGAGCAGAAUAGGGUGCUGAUAAGUGAGAUAAAUCAGAACCAUGAGUCCAAAAUCCCAGAUAAUUUGAGCAGGAAUGUUGGGUUGAUCAGAGAGCUGAACAAUAAUAUCAGGAGAGUGGUUGAUCUUUAUGCUCACCUUUCAACUUCUUUCACAAACUCCAUGCCCAAUUCCUCCUCUGAUGCUGACUCUAGUGGUGCCAAGGCUGCCCACAAGAGGAACCGAGCCUGAAGCUAGCUCAUGAGCGUUAGGUUUGACUCUCGAGUCCUGUAUAUUGGCUAAAUUAAAAUUUCUGUCGGUAGUAAUCGAUGUAUGUGGGAUGUAUCAUUCUUACAAUAAAGUUGGAAAGAAAUGGCACAUUCAAUUCUUUUUCUUUCAUA